rnacentral:rRNA from 1 species
GACGAACGCUGGCGGCGUGCCUAAUACAUGCAAGUUGAGCGAUGAAGAUUGGUGCUUGCACCAAUUUGAAGAGCAGCGAACGGGUGAGUAACGCGUGGGGAAUCUGCCUUUGAGCGGGGGACAACAUUUGGAAACGAAUGCUAAUACCGCAUAACAACUUUAAACAUAAGUUUUAAGUUUGAAAGAUGCAAUUGCAUCACUCAAAGAUGAUCCCGCGUUGUAUUAGCUAGUUGGUGAGGUAAAGGCUCACCAAGGCGAUGAUACAUAGCCGACCUGAGAGGGUGAUCGGCCACAUUGGGACUGAGACACGGCCCAAACUCCUACGGGAGGCAGCAGUAGGGAAUCUUCGGCAAUGGACGAAAGUCUGACCGAGCAAUGCCGCGUGAGUGAAGAAGGUUUUCGGAUCGUAAAACUCUGUUGGUAGAGAAGAACGUUGGUGAGAGUGGAAAGCUCAUCAAGUGACGGUAACUACCCAGAAAGGGACGGCUAACUACGUG